UGGGGAAUUUUGGACAAUGGGCGCAAGCCUGAUCCAGCCAUGCCGCGUGAGUGAAGAAGGCCUUCGGGUUGUAAAGCUCUUUCGGCGGGGAAGAAAUGGCACGCUCUAACAUAGCGUGUUGAUGACGGUACCCGCAUAAGAAGCACCGGCUAACUACGUGCC
rnacentral:rRNA from 1 species